GACGAACGCUGGCGGCGUGCUUAACACAGGCAAGUCGAACGAAGUGGCGAACGGGUGAGUAACAAGGAAUCAAACUGCCCUUCAGAGGGGGAAAACAGGUGGAAACGACAGCUAAUACCGCAUACUGAAGGAGGGAAUUGCGUCUGAUUAGCUAGUUGGAGGGGUAACGGCCCACCAAGGCGAUGACCAGUAGCCGGUCUGAGAGGAUGAACGGCCACAUUGGGACGGCGACACGGCCCAGACUUCUACGGGAGGCAGCAGUGGGGAAUCUGCCGCAAUGGACGAAAGUCUGACGGAGCAACGCCGCGUGAGUGAUGACGGCCUUCGGGUUGUAAAGCUCUGUUAAUCGGGACGCGGUACCGGAAUAGAAAGCCACGGCUAACUACGUGCCAGCAGCCGCGGUAAUAC
rnacentral:rRNA from 1 species